rnacentral:lncRNA from 1 species
AUUUCUAGGUAAAUGAGACAUUUCAGUCUCAAGUCAGAAAGCCAAAUGCUUAUUAGUGUCUUUUGUUAAGCCCUUUUGCCCAGUUUAAGAGAUGAACUAGUGUCAUUCUCUUAGUUGGACUUACCCCAGUUUUAGGAAGUCACACUAAUUAACUCAUUCACUCUGAGGUCUUGGCAGUAGGUAGGUACAGCGGUCAUCCAGACAUUUGAUCCUUGUUGCAAAACUAGGUUUUUGUCAACCUUUGGGUUAAGGGUUUCUCAUUUUUAUCUCGUAUUUAAAAAGUCAAUUCAUCCUACACUAUAAGUACUUUUUAAAUAUUCUAUAUAUAAUUUCUGCCUUGAAACCGACCAAAUACUGAAUUCAUGUCCUGUACACUUUGUCUAAAGCAGCCAGUGGCAACCACAAAGUAUUUUUUUUCUUCUUUAAUAAAGAGUAGAUGUCCUGUCUUCAUCUCAAGGGGCACUUUUGCCUCUCUAUAAUAGAACUUGUCCCGGUAUCAUUUUUUUUCUAUCUUCCAGUAGCAGUCUUCCUGAGUGCCUCCCAGAUAGUCACGAAGCAGUUUGUAGUAUUUUAGUUCUGUAUUAGGAUUGGUGAGGUUGCCAUGAGCAGGUGAAUAACUACAAAAGUCUAGUGUCCCAACAGCUUGUCUGUGACAAGCUGUCUGAGCUGACAGACUACAAUCCCCACAGGCCAAGUCUGUCUUGGCUCACCCUUCUUUGAGGAAAGUGUUACAGGAGUUAUAGCCAUGUCUGUCUAUGAACUGUCAUGGCUGCUUCCCUCUAUAGUUGCAGACUUGAGUAGUUGUGACACUGUGUGCAAUGCAAGCUAAAAUGACUUUUUGGAAAAGUUCGUUUCCUGCUUAAAAUUGUCCCUACCUACCCUGGGGCUCAGGACAAAGCAGAUAUACUCAAUAGGGGUUGACUGCUCACUUUGGGAAAAGAGAAGAGAAAAUUUGGCUCUGUAAGCCCACAGCUACACCAGAUUUCAAGAAGUCCAAAUCCCUCCAUACAGGUGGGAGGAAGAUGAAGUAUUUGGAAGAUCACUCUACUGGUCCUUAUUCUAUUCCCCUAGUUACGUCACUCUAAAUAUGUCUUUGCUUUCUCAUCGAGAUAAAAGUUUACAAAUAUUAAGUGUCCACUUGAGUGGAUUUUUAUAUUCACCUAUGAAUGCACCACUCAGAUCAAGGUAGAACAUACUUCUGUUACUCCAGUAGGUGCCGUUUGCCUCUCACAGAGAGACAGUUGCUGGUCUGACUUAUAUUGCUUGUCAGUUAGUUUUGCCUGUUUUAAGUGUAUAUCAAGUGGAACUAGACACGCUGUGCUCUCUGUUCUCUGUGUCUGCUAUAGUAAUCCAUGGUGUGGAUUGUAACAGCUCAUUUCUCACGCAGUGUCACAGUCCGUCCAUUGUACAAGGUGAUCCAUUCAAUGUUGAUGAAUAUUUGGAUUGUUUCCAGUUUGUGGUCAUUAUGAAUAAAAUUGCUAUUAAAAGCCUUGUG